CCCCCUUAAUAUCCAGGUGGCAUGGAAUCUUGGUUUUUUAUUUCAGACGUGGCUUUUUAAUUUUUUUAUUUUCACAUGUGAAUCUCCAGCAUGGCAUAAAUUAGAAAUUAGGGUUCCCUUCCCAAAUCCAUCCCCCUCUCUCUCUUCGUGAAAUCCCAAAUCCCUACCCCAAAUCCAUCCCUCUCUUCAUCUUCGUCCGUGUCCCCUUCAUCUGGGUUAUGGGUGGCAGCAAGGCAUCUUCCACGAGUGAAGUUGGAAACGGCUUACCAAGAUGUGGAUGCAAUGAAACCAUGAAGUUGUUGGUCUCCAAGUCAAUUGAAAAC
rnacentral:lncRNA from 1 species